GUAAGGGUAUACUCCAGGGCAGUUUGCUCCUGUCACGGAGAACACUCUCUAAUUUGCUGAUAAUUUGCAGUGGGAAUAUCCCAUGGACACACAGAAGGCCUGGUAACUUGUCAUUUGAACACAGCAGGCGCUUCUUUGGCCCACAAGAAUGUCAACAAUUAUGCCAUUCUUUGUAGAAAGCUCCUGUUGCUAGUGUGAUUUGCUGCUCUUUGGUGGAAGCAGCAUUAAAUGUUUAUUAAUUGCUGGAGCAAGCUGUUGGCUUUACAAAUGAACAAGAAUAGAUCAGCUCACAACUGUGGUUAACUGAAACUGAAGAUAGUAAAAGUAAUAGCAACUCUAUAAAAGAUGAGUUAUCCAAGUUGUGACAAUUGAUGCUGGUUAGCUGGGGCUGAAGAAUCAGCUGUGCCUAAGAAAAGACCAGCACCAUUGAAGACUGCAAAUUUGAAAGUGUUUCAUCAAAGUCAAUGCACAGAGGCUGCGGUCAAAAGAGAGUCAAGGCUGGCAGCCAAACAUGGAGCCCGAAGUUAAGAGAUUAUGGAGUUUCAGAGAGAUUCUAGAUAUUUUAGAAAUACGCUAAAUGUUGAAAAAUUUGGAUGUUUUCCCUAAUAUACAAAUGGACUUUGGAAGCCCAUUCCACAUAGAGGGAUACUCUCUCAGCCUAUACACACAAGGGAGGACCUAGGCCAUACUCCAAAUGAUAUGACAGACCUCGAAGAUCCCCAUGGAAGGCCUCACCCUUCCGUGGUGAGCAGAAGGGGGAUAGGAACUGGGAUUGACAUGUAAAACAAGCUUGUUUCUAAUUUAAAUAAAAA
rnacentral:lncRNA from 1 species